GUCAAACCCUACCCUGCCCUAAAAACCCCACACCCCCUUUCUACUUCUCUUUCCAGAAAGUUUUGAUUUUGGGAUUUUGGGUUUUCUUGAACUCUCUGUUUCUUUGCAUUUUUUUGGGUUGUUUUGUUUUUUUUGGGAGUAAAAAUGGAGGUGUGUAGUUUGAGGUCUGAUGUAGCUGUUUUUGGAAGAAUGGUGGUGGGGUCUGUUCUUGAAGCUGUAGUUGCUGAAAUCCUUUUGGCUGCUCAGAGAUCUGCUGCUUCUUUGCUCAUUGUGGCAGGAAUUAUGCUCAAGGAUGCUGAUUCAUUGCCAGAUCUGAUAGGAACUGAUAAAAGGUUUCCAUUUGAGGAGCUUCAUAAAAUGGACAAAGCUGGGCCUGAGAACAAAGAUGGUAGCGACACAGAGGAUGAUGAUGAAGAUGACGAUGGAGAAGCUGAUGAUCAGGAUGACGAUGAUGCUGAUGACGAAGACUUUUCAGGCGAAGGAGGAGAGGAUGAUGAUGAUGAUGAAGCAGAUCCCGAAGACAAUCCAGCAUCUAAUGGCAAUGAAGGCAGCGAUGAUGAAGACGACGACGACGACGAUGA
rnacentral:misc_RNA from 1 species